rnacentral:lncRNA from 1 species
CUGAACGAAAGAGUUUCACUGGGAAAUCCAGAAUAUAAGAUGAAAGGAAGAGUAAUGGAAGCAAAUUGAAUAUUAGGAAUAUGACUUGUAGCAAGGCUUCCUUGAAUGGCAAGUUCUGGGUGGGUCAGAAUUGUUAGGCGAUGUCUUAAAGAAAGAGACAUGAUAAUGGAAUGUAAGGGUUCACAUGACAAAUGGGAGAAAAGGAGCACAAGGGUAAAGGCAAGAGAAAUCCUCCCAUUAACUCAAGCGCCUCCUUUGUGCAGGGCUGUGCUGAACGCUUGGGAGGACAAAAUUAACCUUGAACAACCCAUGCUGAUUUGUUCUGACUGAAGACAUGUAAGCAGAAGUGAUGAGCUCAUGUUUGGUCAAAUAUGAAGGCCUGAUAUGUGUUCUCUGUGUAUUUUCUCCUGCGAUUAUGCUGCCAUGAAGAGAUGUGUGAUGGACACCUUUCUUGGAUGUGUUGUAUGAACGACAGAAAAAAAAAUUACAGAAGGUAGAAAGCUUUGUUGUGAAUAAACUGAGUUUGCAGAGUUAAUUUGUAACCAUAGCAUAGUCAUCACCCUGGCUAAUAGCACAACUGUUACCAGAAGUGGAAUAUCAUCCAUUGCUAUGAACUAAAUACAUAUGCUCUCCUCCAAAAUUCAUAUGUUAAAACUACCCCCCCACCACCAAAAAAAAAAGAAAGAAAGGAAAUGUUACUCUCCAGUGUCAUAGCUUUAGGAGGUGGGACUUUGGGAACACAGUUAGGCUGAGAUGGGGUCAUGAGAGUGGAGCCCUCAUGAAUGGGAUUAGUGCCCUCGUAAGUGUGAUAAGAGUGCCCGUUCCCUUCUCUGCCAUGUGAGGACACAAUGAGUCAGAAGUCUGUGCCUGGAGGGGCCUCACCAGGCAGAACCCUACCACGCUGGCACAUGGAUCUUAAACUUCAAUCCUCCAACACUGUGAGAGAAAGCUUCUGUCAUUUUCAAGCCAACCAGUCCAGUAUUUUGUUAGAGCAGCCAGACUGACUAAGACGCGCAUCAAACCCCUAAAACAUGUAGCUUCUGUUUCAGUUCCGUUCAGUUCAGUUGCUCAGUCAUGUCCGACUCUUUGCGACCCCAUGGACUACAGCACACCAGGCUUCCCUGUCCAGCAGGAACUACCAGAGCUUGCCGAAACUCAUGGCCGUCGACUGGGUGUUGCUGUUGUUUAGUGACUGGUGAUAUGAAGUGGUGAAACAUGCUGGAGGCUAAAAGCAUGGUGCCCCUGGUUUUGCAGGAACAAAAUGUUUCUAAAACUGUCGUCUGAGGAAGUUUACUGGGUACUAGGCAAUGUGAGUUCUAAGCCAGAAACUCUUGGGAAAGACACUGAAAAACAGAAACUUAGUUUUGCUCUUGCUUUUUGGCAGCUAGAUUUGACAAGGGGUCAAGGAUUUGAGAAAGAAGAUUUCAGAGCAAAUUGGCUGGGAGAAGUAAAGUUGCUUAAAAAAUAGUAUAGAUACAUGGAGCUUUGCAUUGAGGGGAAAGUUGGCUUUGAGACUCCCAAACCAUAGGGGUUGGGACUUCAAGGGGCUUUUAACAUCAAUUUUACCAAUAAGAGCUUUCAAAGCAAAGUGUUUCUUUCUUUCUUUUUUUUAAAAGUGUGAGCUGACUAAAGCCUAUAGCUUUAAUAAAUUAAAAGCUAGAUGCAUAUGCCAAGAAGGUGAGAAAAUAAGCAUUUUAGAGUGU